GGCCUCCUGGUGCUUCCCACAGACUGUGUUCCUACACUGACUGUAUAGAAAGAGGAGGCAGAGUAAUCUACCCUGUAUACACCCGAGCCCUGUGCCUAGUCUGUAUUGUGAAUGGGGGACAUGG
ensembl:snoRNA